rnacentral:rRNA from 1 species
AACGAACGCUGGCGGCAUGCCUAACACAUGCAAGUCGAACGAGACCUUCGGGUUUAGUGGCGCACGGGUGCGUAACGCGUGGGAACCUGCCCUUAGGUUCGGUAUAACUCCCCGAAAGGGGUGCUAAUACCGGAUAAUGUCUUCGGACCAAAGAUUUAUCGCCUUUGGAUGGGCCCGCGUUGGAUUAGCUAGUUGGUAGGGUAAAAGCCUACCAAGGCGACGAUCCAUAGCUGGUCUGAGAGGAUGAUCAGCGACACUGGGACUGGGACACGGCCCAGACGGCUACGAGAGGCAGCAGUGGGGAAUAUUGGACAAUGGGCGAGAGCCUGAUCCAGCGAGGCCGCGUGAGUGAUGAAGGCCUUAGGGUUGUAAAGCUCUUUUACCCGGGAUGAUAAUGACAGAACCGGGAGAGUAGGCUCCGGCUAAUACGGU